UUACGGCCACAUCACGUUGAAACCCCGGUUCUCGUACGAUCACCGAAAUUAAGCAAUAUCGAACCUGGCCAGUACCUAGAUGGGUGACUGCUUGGGAAUACCAGAUGCCGUA